rnacentral:rRNA from 1 species
UGACCUCAAAUCAGGUAGGACUACCCGCUGAACUAAGCAUAUCAUAAGCGGAGGAAAGAACUACAGGAUUCCCUAGUACUGCGAGUGAAGCGGAAAAGCUCAA